AUACGUAGGUGGCAAGCGUUGUCCGGAAUUAUUGGGCGUAAAGCGCAUGUAGGCGGUUUGGUAAGUCGGUCGUGAAAAUGCGGUGCUUAACGCCGUAUGGCGAUUGAAACUGCUGAACUUGAGUGCAGGAGAGGAAAGGGGAACUCCCAGUGUAGCGGUGAAAUGCGUAGAUAUUGGGAAGAACACCGGUGGCGAAGGCGCCUUUCUGGACUGUGUCUGACGCUCAGAUGCGAAAGCCAGGGUCGCGAACGGGAUUAGAUACCCCGGUAGUCCUGGCCGUAAACGAUGGGUACUAGGUGUGGGAGGUAUCGACUCCUUCCGUGCCGGAGUUAACGCAAUAAGUACCCCGCCUGGGGAGUACGGCCGCAAGGCUUAAACUCAAAUGAAUUGGCGGGG
rnacentral:rRNA from 1 species